rnacentral:misc_RNA from 1 species
GUAGCAUGUUUCCUCGUGAUCAGUUCAGAGUCUACGUGAAAUCCCAGAGAGAUAAACAAAGAAACUGAGGUUGUAAGGGGGAAAGAUGGGAGCUUUUUCUCUCAAAUUCUGGUGAUUUUGAAUGUGGAGGUUUCUGGGUUUAUCCUCAAAUGAUGUUUUUGUUUCCUGCUAGUUCUGUCUCCAUCUGCAGAUUCCCGGCUGAAUCAUAGCUUUUUCAAAGCAACAUGUUCAGGGUUCUUAAGCUGGCCAAGUAUAUAGCAUUUGAUCCAAUGGGGAAAGAUUUGUGACCAGAAUGGAUCCUCAGGCUUUUAUCAGGU